rnacentral:tRNA from 148 species
GUCGGGAUAGCUCAGCUGGUAGAGCAGAGGACUGAA